CAAAGAUAAGUUCAGUGUUCCUGAGCUUGCAGCAGAGAGCCACAUUGGAACUGAGUCAUCAUUGGCCUGUUCUGGAAGAUAUCCUGCUGAACUCUCCCCAAGACGUUGACAGCAUUCCAAAAACGUGAUGAUCAGAAUUUAAUGCUGCAACUGAGGCCUAACCAGUAAUUUAUGAAGGUGAUGCCUGCCCCAACCAGAGACAGGUCCAGCUCUCGCCUGAAGGAAUUCAGCAGAAAUCAACAUCCACCGCGGGAGACGGCAGACAUCCACUAUUCUCUGGAGAACGACCCAC